rnacentral:lncRNA from 1 species
AUGGAAAAAUCUCUUUCUGCAAAUCAGGCCCAUCCACUGACAUUAAUUUCUACCUUCUGUCUGUGCAGGCACAGCUUUAGCACCUCUGGGGAAGUAAUGGCUGUUUUGUUUACAAUGGGCAGCCUGGAUCCAGUUCUUCCUUCCCAAAGUGCAUUUGUGCUGCAGAGAAUAUGUAGGGAUUGUGAAUGUACUCCUAAGUAGCAUUCCACAGUUGAACUAAUUGCCAGGCCAAGCGAGGGACCACAGUAAAUGGGUGAAUAAUUUGAUCCAAGAUGGAUUUGUACUCUACCAACACAGCCUGAAAUCUUCUAAUGCUUUUGGAUUUGACUGUGAGCUGUUCAUUGUUGUUUGAGCCUGUUCUUUUCUAUUACCAUAUUUUCUCUGGAUAUCAUUUCUGUGUACCUUAUCUUUGUAUAAAAGGCCACAUCUUUACCAUAUUUCCAGGGAGUAGUCAGUAGAGGCAUACAAAAUUUACUGCUGUAGACCAAAAUAUGACAGAUAAAGGUAGUGCAUUACAAAGUUCUUGCCCUCAAUCACGCAGAAGGCUCUCUAUGCUUCUGUGAGCAGUGGCACGAGUGUGGCUGCACUGUAAUGGGAGAAGGGUUAACAGCAAACCAAGACAUUUUCUGCAGCAAAAAGAGGUGGACUCUUCUCCAAGCAAUUACCUUUUAUGUAAUAAACAAUGUCAGUGGUCAAUAGAGGGAGUUUUC